rnacentral:lncRNA from 1 species
UCACACGGCUGUGUGCCACACACGGCCACUUCAUACAGCUAUGUGUCAUUUACAUUUUAGGUGCAUGUUUCAUACGGUCUGAGACACGAUCUACGACAUGACCGCGUGUCUUAAAACAGUUUGUCACACGGUCUAGCACACAACCUGUGACACGGCCGUGUGACUCAACAUCGAAUGCACACACGGUCUGCGACACGACUAUGUGGCGCUGUUUCGAAUACUCACACUGGCUAAGACACAGUCGUGUGACCCCUAUUUCCCAAAUUUUCAUGUUUUUCCAUAAUUUUCUUAUUUCUUUCAAAAUGAUCCC